GUAGACGCCAUGUUUUGCGCGCGCACUGAACGAUAAUUCUACAGAAACCAGAACUUUACUUACUUCAUUAUCAGCUAUAUGUGUUUUCUUUUUGUACAGUACUUUGAGCCUUCCUUUGAUGGUGGGGGUGUGAGGUGCAGCAUUUGUCUUUCGCCUAGGACGCAACACAGCCUGGCACCUGUCCUGAUCCCAGAAGCCAUGGCACGUGUAGAUGAUCUCAUCUUUCUCCACUCGGGAGGGACUGUGACCCCAGGCGGAGACGGAGACAGCCCCAUGUAGCAUCACAGAUACGAACUUUUCUUUUUUAUUAUACUUCUUACAAAAAUAACGUUUUGUUGCUUAAAGUAAAUGAGUAAGUUAUAAUUACAGAAAAUAACAGCGGAAAGAUCGAGCUGGCUGGACUUUCCAUACGCCGCCCACAAGAUGUGGCUAUUCACAGUUCUCUACACUAGGAGAUUUAUUUAUUUGUUUUUAAUAGUUAAAUACAAUCAAACAAUCCAUUCCGUUAUUAGCAACAAGGAUGCAUGGCAUCUUUUUGGUUGGUGUGAUGAUGUAGAUGCUCGUUAACAGGUUGUCUUAAUUAUCGCUCACCAAUUUUGCAAUUAAGACAAGAAUUACACAAUGUUUCCAGCCACAGUGCUUGUGCAUACGUAUGUCAGUAUACGUGUAUGUCAGAGUGUAUGGGGGAGAAGGGAGUUUUUAUUUAAAACAAUCGACAGUUUGAUUGCAUCACUAUGUGACGCCUUCGAGUAAUGCGUUCAUAAUGUCUUUUUAUAUUUUUUGACCAGUCACAUGACUGAGCAAAUGUUGUGCAAAGAAGAAAUAUCCGCAAUCUCUCCCUGCAUCCGUUACACGUCCUUGCAUUCACCUCUAAGUUUGUUUUUUGUUUUUGUGUGUGGGUGUGGGACAUGUUAAUGGUGACAACUGAGCCAGACUCAUGAAGUGGAGGUAAACCUAUCUCGUGGAUAUCGUCCGGUGUUACGUUGAGACAUUUUCACGACGUGCCGGGCUCGAAGGCAACUACACCGCAGAAGAUGCCGAUGCCAUGAAGGAAGAUAAUUCAGAUGAUUUGUUGUUUCAAUUAAAUAGAGGACAACUAUACGAUCCUACUAACAUGGGAUGAGUACAUCUGGAAUCAAAAGAUAAAUUGCUAAUGGUGGAAGCAGAAGCAUAUAAAUCUUCAAACAAUACGAUACUGAAAGGAAUUUCACCAGAGAUAGAGCAAAUGUGGACAAUCAGAUGUUCGCAUUACUAGUGGACGAAACUUAGCUAACGAACUUCUGAUGCACAAGCUAUUAAUAAAAACAAUUAAAGUUUGAUAUCACGUCUCAGUUUUCGUAUUCUGAUUUUGAUUAAUAUUAACGUGCAGGCCCGUUCUUAGCUCCCGCUGGGGCCCGAGGCAUAGGGCAUUGCGGGGUCCUCGAUGCCACGGUUUUUGUUACGACCUUGUUACCAUAUCAACUAAAAGCGCGGGGCCCCUGACGACUGUCAAAAGCGCGGGCCAAAUGUAAAAUACAAACCCCUUUUUAAGAACUUUCGAAUAAUUGUAGUGACCUUUGACAAUGUCCGCUGGUUACAAAGGUCAUUUUAAUCCAUUUCAAUGAUGCUGGAGCCAAGUAGAGAAGUGUUCACUGUUCAUAUUCCUAGAUCUAUUAUUUGAAACAUACAGAACUAUUAUUUCUGUACUUGGGAUGUUUGUAAGGGCACGUGAUGUUUUUCAUGGUGCAUAAUUUAAAAAAAAAGACUUCAAUCAAAGAGGUGUAACAAGAGAACCCACUGUUCUUAGAGAGCUUGAAGUCAAGCGGCGGUCACGGGGGCCAUACUCCCCCUUGGGCGAAGUAAAUGUCGCUAGCCUUUGUUCUGACGAUCGUGUGCCUGCAGCUUUGGUGUAACACGCGCGCGAACACACACACACAGUGAGUUUUUACCCCUUUGUCAUAAUCUCGCGGACCGUGGCCAUGUCAACCAGCGCCUUAUGUUCCAUAAGUGAUCGACCGAUUGUCUUUUCAUGUGCCACGUGGGUGAUGUUCGAGGGUUGGGGGUUUUUUUUCUGCAUCAUCGAGUUCGUAGCGAUCCUGAUAGUUUGAGAGUGUGACCUGGGUCGCGGCGCAUGUGGUGAGCACAUAUAUUUUGUUUGAAAUUAUUUAAGUUGAAAAGUACGGUUGCAUGGAGAUUUCAAUAGCAUUUCAGGAGGCCUUAAAUAAGGGCGAGACUUACAGGGAGUUUUAUUGAAGCCAACUGUUGAUGUAUGUUCCUACUGUUCGUUCCUAGUGCAGACGUUCUCUCUCAGUCCGCCCCCUCGACUUUAAGGUCUCAGUAAGGAACUCGAUACCUUAAUCGCCCCCCUCAAAGCCACGCUACUGUGUGUGCACAUAUUUAUGAUUCCUCCCGCUUAUUCAUCCUUCCCCUUUAGUUUUGUAAUGACUUCUUACCAGGAUGUGAGGCAGUUCUUUUCUUUCGUGGGUGUGAUCGUGUAUUUUUUAAAAAAAAAUUACCUGUGUGAAUAAAUUUGUUUUUUGUACCGUUGAUUUCGUCUUCGUUGUGGUCUACGUUCAUCAGUGGUUCGAUAGGUACGUCGUGUCCCUGCUCCGGCCGAGCGAGUGGCUGUGUGAUCGUGGAUCCAGCGACGCUGAGGGUGAUCCCGACAAUUUACUUAAAAAAUCAGCAACUUCUCCAAUUUAGAAAAAAAGACCGAGAACAUUUCAAACAUACAUUAGCAAUAGUUUUUCAAGUAACUCUUAUUAGUCAAAUUUUUGGACACAAAGAGAUUAUAGUUGCUACAUAUCUAAGACCUCUCCUCAUACACAAUGCCUCCGCAAAAUAUACUAAUUUUGUAUGUCUAUGCUGAAGUUUAACACGUUCAUUUUUUUUUCCAUUUGUGGACUCAGCAGUGUGUAGUGUUUCCUUUAAACACAAAAUGCAGCCGCGAAUGUAAAAAAAACUGGGCGAGGAGAUUGCAUGCUUUGUCUGUAUUUGCUGAAGGGAGACAUUACAAACUCGACUUCUGCUCAAAACGUUUCAGAAGUAGAGCUCUCACUCGGUCCACGUAGAACAAAUGUUCAGAUUUCCUGAACAUAAUUUUCAGUUUCUCCACCAUCGUCGCCAGCUGAGAUGUUAGGAGGACUAGCCCAUCGUGUUGCCUGAAGUACUUGCUUGACUGAUGGAGAGGUGUAUGUGCGGUGAAUACUGGUGUCCAGCAUCAAGAGAAAGUAUCUCCGUAUUUGAUGCAGUUGCUCCUUGCACACAGCAUGAUGAGACCCAUCACCAUCAUUGGCUCAGAGAGAACAAAAUCGGCUCUGUCUUGGGUUUGCAUGGAAGUACGAUUCCGCCUGGUAUAGUAGAUCGCUUCACCAACAAUUCUGCACCUACUUCUUGCAUCUACGGAAAUGACAACACAAGACUAGGAAAACUAGAAAUCACCACCAGGUGUGGCAAAACGGUAAAUGAAGGAAUGAAGGAGUGGCCGUGGUGGAAUACGGAACAUCAUGGUUUCACUUUCCUGCCUCAGUGGCUUUUCUUGCUAAGCCUCUUUGCUCCAACUGUGUACUGCUCCAUUGUGUUGUGUUAAAAAUGUCCUGAAAGUUUCGUAUUGGUAAUAAGCCAAACAAAAGUCAUUAAAUAUGUCUUAAUAAUUACAGAGUUUAUAAAGCGCCCACUCUUGCAAUAGCAAUUCAAGACGCUAUGCACUUAUGUACGCAAUUUAUGAUACAAUAAAGAGAUAUGUACAUGAAAAAUAAAUACAAGAAUGUGUACACAGUCUACCCCCUAGCAUGUACAGGAAGGUCAAUGCUAUGGUAAGAGAAAAGGAUAAGAAGCUUUGUUUUUAGCACGUUGAUGGAUGGCAGAGCCAGGAAGUGCAAAGAGAAGAGAGUUGCUGUACUCAAUACCAGAGAAGACAGGAAGGAAAACAGGUUUAAUGGUUUGUUGACUCUUUGUUUCCUGCACUUGAAAAUUUUUUUAAAAAGUGACUUUCCAUCUGCCUGCAUACUGUUUCUAGUGUCCUAUUUUUCCACGAUAAUUAAAGAAUGUGUAUUAAAAAAAGUUCCAUUGGUAUUGAAUAGCUUUUCAGCACUGAAUUACAAACAGAACUGACCUGCACCUAAAAUUUUAUAACGACACCAGCUGUCUGUUAACUGCCUGUCUUGAUCUUCCAAAUAAUCGAACGGCAGAAUACUACUGAGUCUAAACGCCUUUCUGAGCUGAACAUACUCCACGCAUUACUCAGCCAUUUGACAGAUAUAGGCCUUGCUCUGCAGUGACUCGAAUUUUCAGCAUCAAUACUUUGUGGUAACUUAUAAAAAGUUUGUAUUAGUAAAUGUGUAAAAGCAACAUCAUAUUGUAUUAGAUGCAAGUAAGCAUUAGUUUUAUUAGGGUAUGAUUAAACGUCCGUUUUAGUCCCAAAAUGUUAGAGAAUGCUCUUCUCUUAAAAACCUUUAAAAAAACUGGACAGAAUUUUUUGGGAAUUGGGGGUGUUUAUUUUAUUUUCCUUGUUUGUAAAGAAUCAUUUUCUGUGACUAUUUGUAGCCUCACCCAGUUGGUUGAGGGAAAAUAGAGUUUUGUUGGACAUCUUUUUUUUUCUUUUUUUUUUUUUAAAUAAGAUGUCGAAUGCGUGUGGGGCCAAAGCAGUUGUGGCACAGAAUCAAUUCGUAACUCAAGAAGCCUUCUUUAGUCGCGAAUCUUUGGAAACACCUGCUUGCCUUCAGUGCCUGUAAAAAUUUGUGAGAUGGAUCGCUGAUGAUUGUUUUCUUUACGAGAAUCUUAGAGCCUUAGUGGGGUGUGAUUAUUUUUGUCUUUUAAUGACUGGGCAAAGUUUAGAGCAAGAUAUUAUUUCCCCAUGAAUAAGCCCCCGUCUGUUUUCAAGCCACGCCGACCAACAUCGAUAGGCACACACAGAGGUCAGCAGCACAGCCAUUAAACACAGAGGAACGCAAGACCAUGUUUCCAGGGCACUGAUUGGUUGAUCUUUGACCUUCUUGCUCCAUAUGCAAAUGAGCCAGUCUUGUUUCAGCUCUGUAGUUGCAGAAGUUAUUCGAUAAGUAUAAAAUUGAAUUGUAUAGCUGAAAUGCAUUCUGUAGUUACAGAAUGGAGUUAUGUGUAUAAAAUGAAAUGGUUAGUAACUUCUGAGUAUACUAUAGAUGAAAUACUUUGGUUUUUACAGAGUUUUUGUUCUCUCUCUCUAGCUUUAAAGUGAAUUGUAUUGGUAUAGAAUUCAUUUUAUACUUCUAGAAUUAAAUUGUAUAAAUACAGACUGCAUUAUGUACGUAUAGAAUGCAUUUUAUAGCCAGAGAAAGAAAAUGAAAGAAAAAUCACCUUUUGGCGCCUAUAGCCAUUGUUCGUAUUUUCUGUACAGUAAAGUCUGUUCACUUUCUGAAUUCAAAGACAUUGCGUUAUGAAAUGUCUUUGAUACACGUAGGUAUAGAAGAGACAAAUGAGCUCCUGUACAACUCAGUGCACUUCCAUUAAAUUUACUCCUAACAAAAGUCCACACAAUGCAUCUCCUUUUUCAUUCCUCUACCCCCUCCUUUUCCGCUUAUUGCUACUUGCUUACUCGUGUUCUUCUGCUGAAUCACGGGUCUUAGUUCUUUUUACCCUAUUUCUCUUUGCUUUUUUUAUAUUUGUCUUUUAUUAGUUAUCAGUACUGUUCCGCUCCUUUGUAUGAUGUAUGAAACACACUGACACUUAUUACUGCAGUUUAGAAUGUACUCUCUCGCCUUCUGGCGAUACCCGGUGGAAGGUUUUGAGUGCAUUUCUCAUUAACGUGUCACUCUUUAUGUCCGUGAAAGCUUCCUCGCAAAUGGAUUAGCAACACCCUCAUUGAGUACAUCUCUGGUAAACCAACGCCUCAGUUCCCGUGCGACGGGUGAGGUGACGCCCAUUUUCUUUUGUUUGCAUUCUGUUUCCAGGUUCACAGUUUUUUCAGCAUGCCUGUUAAACGUGCAUAAAAAGACAAAAAUCCCUCGGUGGUUUUAGCUUUUCAGCAUUUAAUCGUGUACUUACGCCUUCGAACUGACCUGCACUUAAAAUUUUAUAACAACACCAGCUGUUUGCUAACUGCCUGUCUUGAUCUCUCGUAAUCGAAGAGAAGAACAGCACGGUUUCUAAAUGUCUUUCUCAAAACAACUGAUACGAUCAAGUAUGGAAAAAAACUGGCCAAAGAUGGUCAAGAUUAUGUGUCGGGCUAAGAAAGCCUUCAAAGUGAUCAAAGAAAUUUUAGUACUGCAAGAACUGCAUGUAAGGUGUGAAGUUAUAGCAUGGUGUUUAUGAUAGGGAUUUUCAGGACAUUCGCUGGCCUUAAUGUGAUCACAAUCUUUAGAAUUGAAGUAUAUCGCCCAUUCACUGAUUUCGUAGUAUUCAAAGUGUAAAUAAAUACUCCUCUUUAAAAUAUAUUUAGCGCUGUAAGAAGCUGAAUUUAAAAAAAUUUUGAAAGCACUUUCGUAUUUUCUGUACAAUAAAGUCUGUUCACUUUCUGAAUUCAAAGACAUUGCGUUAUGAAAUGUCUUUGAUACACGUAGAGAAGAAACAAAUGAGCUCCUGUACAACUCAGUGCCCUUCCAUCAAAUUUACUCCUAACAAAAGUCCACACAAUGCAUCUCCUUUUUCAUUCCUCUACCCCCUCCUUUUCCGUUUAUUGCUACUUGCCUACUCGUGUUCUUCUGCUGAAUCACAAGUCUUAGUUUUUUGUUACCCUAUUUCUCUUUGCUUUUUUAUAUUUGUCUGUUAUUAGUUAUCAGUACUGUUCGCUCCUUUGUAUGAUGUACAUGUCUCCUUGUCUCAAGCGCUGAAAGUACGCUCCUUGCGAGAAGGAAAGACAAGUUUAAAAAAAAAAAAAACUACACUUCAGUGAUGGAUACACAUUUUCUGAAUCGUUUCUGCAUCAAAUUUCGGGUUGAGGAAAUAUUUUUUAUGUAUAAACGCUUAAACACAAUAGCGGGUUUGUAACUUCCCUGACGCAAGUUGUGCAUGGUGCGUUGCAAUUCUGGAUCUCACAUUCUUGUCACACGCGUUUCGGAGUCAGAAAAAAACUGAGCUAACAAAAUUUACACAGAAAGUCGCAGUCGGGAGAGAUCACGAUAGGUGGACUAUAACUGACAUACAGUGUCAAUAGAGGUCACAGCAUGUUCGAUAUGGUACGUGUUGCAAUUGAAAAAAUGUUAUGGUAACACAAGGAUACCUGUACCCACCUUAGAUGACCACACUGCUUACCAGAAUAUAUCUCCUAAAACAUCAUUGUGUUGAAUAUUAUAGAGCUAAAUUCACUUGUCCAAGCUUUUGCCUACCAACGAUGCCCGGUUUCUUACAUCCACCAUGGUGUGUCAUAGACAGAUGUGUCAUGGUCAUGUGUCAUGGUGUGUCAUAGACAGAACCCAUGAGGUGCAGCCAGACUCUGUGAAAUGUACUGAUAUUCUGUAAAUCGCAAAGCUUGGAAAAGGGUGUUCGAUUACUCCUAUAUGAGCUGUAAAUCGUGUUAGUGGUCUGAAACUGUAGCUUUAUGCUGAAAGCUUUUAAUUGUGACAUGGGAGUGUCUUUAUUGGUAGCAUAUGAGCUCAUAAACAGUAUCCAAAGGUUGUACGAAGACAAAAUUACUCAUACAUAUUUAUUUAAAAGAAUACAUCAAAAAUUCAACAUACAAAAACCCAAGAUGUUCAAAAAUACAAAUACCGCACCUUUCUAGGAAGACGCAGACUCCACUCCUUCCCACGUAGUGUCUCGGCACUAGCCGCGUCUUCUCGGGAAGUGAAGCGCUGCCCCGCAAACAUUUAAUUUAAUCGUCUUCCCCCAUUUCUUGUUCCACUAUCUUUAACAACAACCCGAUUAGUCAUUCAGCAGGUGUGGUCAGCCACCAUCGCCGUGCGGGCUGCGAGCUUCAUGUUACCCUCUGUCACAACUUUCCCCCACUUUACAUAAAAAUUAUGUUCACAUCUUUACACUUUACUUACAUUCUGCAUCUGUCUCUAAUCUCAGUCGGGCGUCUGGCCAACAUAAAGCUUGGGCAUGGGAAAAUAAAAGAGACAAUAUCAUCCUCAUCUUCUUUAAAAAUAGGUAACUUCGGCGGGAGCUCUUUUGGAAGUGCUUCUCUAUAGUCCUUUCCCUCUCUAUCCUUAAUCUGAUUAACUAAAAUUCCCUUUUUCUCUCCCUUUCCUCUCUUUCUCCCUUAGUAAGAUUUCACUGACACUCUGUAACCAUAAACUAAUAUCCCUGGACUGCUUGCAGACGAUUUUUUUUCAGCCAACUACUAGAACGAGUCUACUUGCUAUAACGCUUCCGGUUUAGCCCCGACACAGAGAUGAGUUAAGCCGUUACAGUGUAUUUAGAUUUUAGAUCUACACAUGGCAGUGUUGACUUCAGACUCUGAUUACCUCCCUGCAGCUGCUUCAGAAAAAGAUUAAUUUUGAUUUCGAGCUAUCACAGCAAACUUAUCCUGGAAUACAUGCAUGGCUGACAUGACUGACAUCAGGCAUCUCCAGGAAGCUCAGUUUACAAUGACCGACAAGAGUUGUGUUGAUGGAACGAUAUUUCUAUCUGUGAAAGUUGGGCCAAUGCACCGAAAAUUGCCAGAUGAGCGUCCAUACUAAUGCCAUAAUAACUUUCAGAUAUUUUUGGGUGCAGAACUUUGUUGACUUAUCGAAGAUUCCGUGUAAUUGCAAGGCUGCAUUCACUGCAUCUGUUCAGUGUGUCUUCCUUUUAUCGUUACUGGUCAGCGGAGAGUGCGACUUCUCUCUGCCGUAAUGUUGCGCAUUACAAGUGCACAAAUUAAAUUAAGUCUGUAUAUUUACCUUUGCUGUCACUACCAAUUUUUUAACAGGACUACCACUAUCUUGAAUAUGUAACAAGCAAUCACCAUACUGAAAGCACAAUAAAGUACAACAUUUUGAGUAAAAAUGUAUAUAGAAAAAAAGCCAAGCCACGUUACCCAUACAAGCGGAUUUUAUAUAAGGUGAAUUAUAUGUGAGAACACUUCAGUGAUUGUAGAUCUUUGUGUUUAUGUGUGUUUCAUAUUAUUUAUCAUUUAUAAGUAUUACUGGACUGCUGGCAGACUCUCCCCCCUUUCCCAGUUAACUACGAAAACGAGGCAGGUGUUACAA